rnacentral:sRNA from 1 species
GCCAGGCAUCGUGGCACAUGCCUGUAAUCCCAGCGGCUCAGGAAGCUGAGACAGGAGGAUCUCGAGUUCAAAGCCAGCCUCAGCAAGUCGAGGCACUGAGCAACUCAGUGAGAACCUGUCUCUA